rnacentral:rRNA from 1 species
UACGUAGGGGGCAAGCGUUGUCCGGAAUCAUUGGGCGUAAAGAGCGCGUAGGCGGUCCGGUAAGUCCGCUCUGAAAGCCCGGGGCUCAACCCCGGGAGGCGGGCGGAUACUGUCGGGCUAGAGUCCGGAAGAGGCGAGUGGAAUUCCUGGUGUAGCGGUGAAAUGCGUAGAUAUCAUUUGGAACGCCAAUGGUGAAAACAGGUAGCUGGGAGUGUGCUGACACUGAGACACGAAAGCCAGGGGAGCAAACGGG